rnacentral:lncRNA from 10 species
UAACCACCCCCAACUGCUACCACCCAAGAUAAGCAGGUGUGGCUCUGGGCCCCUCAGCAGCAGGCCAGUGGAGAGGUGAGACUAGCAGUGUGUGGCCUGGGACAGGAGUAGAUAAAAGGCAGCCAUGGAGGUGGACUUGUCUGCCGGGCCAUUUCCUUCCCACCUAAGCUCCUGCCAGAUGGCUCCCAGUUGCUGUGUUUGAGCCCAGGCUGACCACUUCCUAGGCAGUGGCGUUGGAGAUGGGUGUGGCCUUGCCUCCAGGAUCUCCUCACAGCUUGUGCUUCCUGACAGCUGUGGACACUUGGGCUGACUGCAGACCUCCCGCUACCCUGAUUUCCAGCAAGUGAGCCAGCGCCAUGAGGAGUGGCUGCCUCUUGAAUCCUGUCAGUCUCCGGCAGAUCCGAUUACAUCUGGGACCCUUAAGAGUACUUGAAGCAAACGGCGCUGGUCUAUUUUAAUCCUGCUCCUUCUAGAAACUAGAAACUGAAAGAACUAUUCCUUCCAGCCCAGAACACUGUCUCUGAACAGCAAGAUGGCUUUGAAACGCUUUCACAACGAAGGUGUGCUCCACUGGGCACCACAACAUACGGUUCAGACGUUUAAAGCCUGUCUCAGCCCAAUUUCCUCUCCAUUUGCUCCCUGGGUAAGUGUACAUCAGAAUCACCUGGAGAGCUUCUUCAAACAAAAUGUGGGUUCCCCCCUCUUCGGAGUUUCUGACUUAGAGGGUCUGAGG